rnacentral:lncRNA from 1 species
AAUAGUGGAGGUUGCACCAUAAUAAUCAGCAAGGUGUUUUUCGACAUGAGCCGAAGUGGAAAUUCUUAGAAUGGUUUAUUCUAAGUGGUGAUACUCUUUAUGGUGGAGUAUGACAGGUGUUCAACAAUGUGGAGUAUGACGGAUAGCAACUGCUAUGAUCAUUUUUAAUCAAGGUGGAGUUUGUUGGGAUUUUGCUUAAAAAUGAAAAUGGUCAUUGUUCCACAUUGGAAAAAUGUCGAAGAGUAGCUUGGAGGCUUGCCUAUAUAAGGGGGCUUAAGUUAUGUUAUCAAAUGUACCAAACCAAAUGUAUUUUCUAACACUUUUUGUUAGGAGAAAAUACUAAGGUUUAUGUGAUUGUAAGAAUUUUUCACAU